rnacentral:rRNA from 1 species
AGUGAACGCUGGCGGUAGGCCUAACACAUGCAAGUCGAACGGCAGCACAGUAAGAGCUUGCUCUUACGGGUGGCGAGUGACGGACGGGUGAGAAAUACAUCGGAAUCUACUUUGUCGUGGGGGAUAACGUAGGGAAACUUACGCUAAUACCGCAUACGACCUACGGGUGAAAUCAGGGGAUCUUCGGACCUUGCGCGUUUCAAUGAGCCGAUGUCGGAUUAGCUAGUUGGCGGGGUAAAGGCACACCAAGGCGACGAUCCGUAGCUGGUCUGAGAGGAUGAUCAGCCACACUGGAACUGAGACACGGUCCAGACUCCUACGGGAGGCAGCAGUGGGGAAUAUUGGACAAUGGGCGUAAGCCUGAUCCAGCCAUACCGCGUGGGUGAAGAAGGCCUUCGGGUUGUAAAACCCUUUUGUUGGGAAAGAAAAGCAGCAGGUUAAUCCCCCGCUGUUCUGACGGUACCCAAAGAAUAAGCACCGGCUAACUUCGUG